CCUACGGGAGGCAGCAGUCGAGAAUCAUUCACAAUGGGGGAAACCCUGAUGGUGCGACGCCGCGUGGGGGAAUGAAGGUCUUCGGAUUGUAAACCCCUGUCAUGUGGGAGCAAAUUAAAAAGAUAGUACCACAAGAGGAAGAGACGGCUAACUCUGUGCCAGCAGCCGCGGUAAUACAGAGGUCUCAAGCGUUGUUCGGAAUCACUGGGCGUAACGCGUGCGUAGGCUGUUUCGUAAGUCGUGUGUGAAAGGCGCGGGCUCAACCCGCGGACGGCACAUGAUACUGCGAGACUAGAGUAAUGGAGGGGGAACCGGAAUUCUCGGUGUAGCAGUGAAAUGCGUAGAUAUCGAGAGGAACACUCGUGGCGAAGGCGGGUUCCUGGACAUUAACUGACGCUGAGGCACGAAGGCCAGGGGAGCGAAAGGGAUUAGAUACCCUAGUAGUC
rnacentral:rRNA from 1 species